UGACCUCGAAAAUAAACACUUUGUAUUUUACAUGGAUGUGAAAACUGUAGAAAUUCAACAUGUUCUCAUUAUCUUGUUCAUGUUUACAUGUCUAGUUUAAAUUAGUCAUGUCAUGUACAAUCUUUCUUAUGCAAUUGUAUUUUUAAGACUACUGACUUAUUUGAACAAAAAAAAAAAAAAAAAGGACUACUGACUUAAUUUUUUUGCUUGGAGAAGCGAUAUCCACUAUUUAUAAAACAUAGAGAUCUGCAGCAACAAUUAUUUCAGUAUAUCAUUUGAAAUAAAGCAAGGCAUAGUAGUAUACUUUUUGCUCCUCAAAAUAUAGCAAUUUGAUUGAUUUUGACUUUAUGUCGAAGUAGGACCUUCAAAAAUAUAGCAACAGGCGUACUUUUGACUAAUCUCACACCAACUUUGUGUAUUUAUUAUUCAUAUUUUCACCCAGCUCUCGUUGUAGCAUGUAUAGGCUAUCUAGCCAGAAGGUAACUGUAGCUAUAAUUUAAAAAUGUUUAGACCCUUAUU
rnacentral:lncRNA from 1 species